GAUGAACGCUGGCGGCGUGCCUAAUACAUGCAAGUCGAACGCUGAAGGAAGGAGCUUGCUCUUUCCGGAUGAGUUGCGAACGGGUGAGUAACGCGUAGGUAACCUGCCUGGUAGCGGGGGAUAACUAUUGGAAACGAUAGCUAAUACCGCAUAACAGUAGAUGUUGCAUGAUAUCUACUUAAAAGGUGCAAUUGCACCACUACCAGAUGGACCUGCGUUGUAUUAGCUAGUUGGUGAGGUAACGGCUCACCAAGGCGACGAUACAUAGCCGACCUGAGAGGGUGAUCGGCCACACUGGGACUGAGACACGGCCCAGACUCCUACGGGAGGCAGCAGUAGGGAAUCUUCGGCAAUGGACGGAAGUCUGAACGAGCAACGCCGCGUGAGUGAAGAAGGUUUUCGGAUCGUAAAGAUCUGUUGUAAGAGAAGAACGAGUGUGAGAGUGGAAAGUUCACACUGUGACGGUAUCUUACCAGAAAGGGACGGCUAACUACGUG
rnacentral:rRNA from 1 species